CGGGAGAUAAAACAGUUUCAAGAAAGUUUGAGAAAACCUUGUAUAUUUAAAUUUUCUUAAUUUUUCAAAUUUCAAUCUUGUAUUUCAAAUUUUUAUUUCAAUAUUGUACUAUCAAUCUUUAUAUUUCAAUAAAAUUAUUUAUUCAUUUCAACAUUUGUUUAAUUUUCUCUAUCAUUGCAUCCCCUGGGCAUAAUUUGGUGUGUUGGCAAUGAGGAGUGUACCUUAGAUGUAAUAGUGAUUCAAUCCCCUUCCAUUUUUUUUUCGCCUUUUCUUGUGUUGACAAAACGACGCUAUUUUGCCUUCAGAAUUAGUAAAGAGAUGUCGUUUUGGUGUUUGAUACAAUGACGUCUUUGAUCUUCCUCAAUUCACGCAGCUUGGAUUCUAGCACAAAGCUCCUCUUUACUCUUUCUCCAUUUUCAUAUACUACAGCCAUGCCUAUCUACUUCUCCAUUACUACAAACAAUCAUCAUCAUUUCUUCUUCUCUUUAGAGUUCACUAAGGUUGUUUUCGAAUUGUAUUUAUGAUACAUAGUUUGUUUUUCUUUUCUUUUUCAAUUAUUUUCUUUUUUCAAAUUUUAAUCCAAUUUCUUAACUCUUUUAGUUACUUACAUUUCACUUUGUGUUUGGAUUUUGAUAAUUAAGGGCUCAUAACCUCCACCAGACAAAAGAACAUCAACACCAAGUCAAUUCGUAAUUUUCGAUCUAUUUUUCCCUAUAUUUUACUUUCGAUCAAGAAUGUGGAUGCAUUUCUCAUCUCGGCUUUUUUGAAAUCUUCAAAUAUCAAUUGGGUAUGAUUUAAUUCUGUAUAUUUCUUUGUCAUUGACCGGAAGUUGUGUUUUCUUCAACAUUCGGGAUUUAUGUCGUAGGUUACUAAAGAUAGAAUAUAACAAUUUGCAUUGAUCGACUUAUUUUAUUUUAUUUUAUUUAUUUAUUUAUUUUAUCGCUAUACGCUAUUGAUCGUCAGAUUAAUUUUGCAUUGUCUUGCUUAUUUUCUUAAUAUUUCUUUAAUUUAUGUCGAUCACACCAUUGGUUUGUUUCUAUUAAAUAUUCCGCUUUAGAUUUUCAAUUUUGGCUGAUACUUUAUUAGAUAAUAUUUUUUUGGGAAUUUAGUUUGAGUUGUUGUUGUUGUUUUUUUUUUUUUUUUUUGGUUACCCUUACAGUUAGAUAUGCCAGUUGGGUUGUUGAUUCAAGCAUUUGAGAAGAAGCCAUUUAAUAAUUCUUUUGGACCAUGUAGACACCAAAAGAUCGGUGUAGCAGUAGCAGUUUGUUGCGAUUUGCUAAUGGUCAUACGCACAGGCGAGCUUAAAAAUUUGAUGUCAAUUUUCAUAAAACUCCACUAUGCAAACUUUUUAGUUUUUCCAACUUUAUUUUCUCGUCCCCUUUAAUAAUUAAGUAGAUCUUUGAUUGUAUGAUGAAGCUUUUUGGUCUAUUCCGUUGAUUCAAUUAUUGAUGCUUUAAGUUCUCGAUUAUAUGAAUAUAACUUUCAAAGAAAUUUAGUGAAGAAUGAAAUUUGAAAAGGGUCAAGAAGAAGAAGAUGGGGGAGGAUGAAGAGUUUUGUUGGGAGAGAUGCAAACAAAUAGAUAAGUAGUGAAAUAAUUCGUCUCUUAAAAACAAAUAAGUGGACGCUCUUUUUGACAAUUCUGUAUGUUGAAAAUAAUAAAAAAAUCAAUCACACUAAACAACAAGAACACAAGCAAUUAUUUUACAUGGAAAAUUUUUUCCGAUGUGAGGAAUAAAAACCACGAUACCAAGUCCAGUCUGAACCUCCACUAUCAGUCAAAUAAUAGGUACACCAAGUCUUCUUUAGUCAUAACUAGAAGCUACAACAUAUAUUUCUUCAAGAUAACAACAAUUUUG
rnacentral:lncRNA from 1 species